rnacentral:rRNA from 1 species
UACGGGGGGGGCAAGCGUUGUUCGGAAUUACUGGGCGUAAAGGGCUCGUAGGCGGCCAACUAAGUCACACGUGAAAUCCCUCGGCUCAACCGGGGAACUGCGUGUGAGACUGGAUGGCUUGAGUUUGGGAGAGGAAUGCGGAAUUCCCGGUGUAGUGGUGAAAUGCGUAGAUAUCGGGAGGAACACCUGAGGCGAAGGCGGGUUACUGGGCUGAUACUGACGCUGAUGCGCGAAAGCCAGGGGAGCAAACAGG